GGGAGGGGCAGGAAAAGCAUCAAGAGGCAUCACUGAUGGACAACAUGGCUGCGUAUGGACACAGUCUCCUCAUACUCAGGCAGGCUGCAGCCAAAGGGUUCCCCACACUGAUGCCAGUGUGCCAAGGCUGAGAUGCAGAGCUCAAGCAGCUUACAGAUCUUCAAACUCACGCAGACAUUUGGAGGCAUCACACGCACUUGGCUGCUAAAGACAUUUUCUGGCCCUGAAUCCCCGCCUGGCUACCUUUGGCAGCAUUGGCGGCUGCUGACCUACACUCUGUGAUUAUGAUAACCACCACAUCGCCCACCCCCCUACUGCCCAGAAUUCACUCAGAAACCACAUCUACCACUGCCAGUCAUAAUUUACCAUUAAUGGGCUCUACCGCUGUCCAUCACGGACGGUCGGCCCCUGCCUGGAAUCUGCUGUGUGACGCAGCUCAGCUCUGGAGUUCUACCCACACAGCAGCAGGCACCGCAAGGGACAGGGGCUAAACUAAAGCCGCGCCAGAAGGCCCUCAGGUCUGUUCUUAAAUCGCCUCGUCUUACUGGUACUUUACAAGCCGCCUUCAAAGAUCGGAGGCUGCUCACCGCCACUUCAACACGGAGUAUUUAAACAAACAGAUCAGCUUGAGCUCAUUGGACUCCACGAACAUUUAAAUGGGUUAAUGUAUAGUUGGUGCUUUAGUGCUUUAUCUAUACUAUCCCUCAUUUUUUAAUUAUGCUAUCAGUGCUCCCACCAUGAGCAUUAUUUGUUCAGGGAGCUACUAUUUAAUAAAGCUGUUCUUCCAACAGG